rnacentral:misc_RNA from 1 species
AAGCCUCCCUUUAAGGAAGAAUAUCUGCAAACAAAAUGGCCAAAGCAGAAAUCAAGGAAUUAUCAGCGUAAGCAAAGAACAAAAGGAAAACAUGCAAUGAUAUGCUUAUCUCAGAAAGGAUGCCUCAGAAAACUGUGUUUUUUUGGCACAUCACAGCCUUAAGUUACUAACCAAGAAAGCUUGGCAUCAGAUUAUACCAUUGAAAGGUGAUUUGCCCUUAUUCCAAUAUAUCCAGUUAUUGCAAUAUUUUUUAUGUUGUAGUAAUAGGUGAAUUAAGUAAAUCUUUAAUGCAGUUAACUCAACUCAACUCAACUAAG